rnacentral:rRNA from 1 species
GACGAACGCUGGCGGCGUGCCUAAUACAUGCAAGUCGAGCGGACAGAAGGGAGCUUGCUCCCGGAAGUUAGCGGCGGACGGGUGAGUAACACGUGGGCAACCUACCCUGUAGAUCGGGAUAACAUCGAGAAAUCGGUGCUAAUACCGGAUAAUCAUUUGAAGUGCAUGCUUCGAAUGUAAAAGAUGGCUCCGGCUAUCACUACGGGAUGGGCCCGCGGCGCAUUAGCUGGUUGGUAAGGUAAUGGCUUACCAAGGCAACGAUGCGUAGCCGACCUGGAAGGGUGAUCGGCCACACUGGGACUGAGAAACGGCCCAGACUCCUACGGGAGGCAGCAGUAGGGAAUCUUCCGCAAUGGACGAAAGUCUGACGGAGCAACGCCGCGUGAGUGAUGAAGGUUUUCGGAUCGUAAAGCUCUGUUGUUAGGGAAGAACAAGUGCCGUUUGAAUAAGGCGGCACCUUGACGGUACCUAACCAGAAAGCCACGGCUAACUACGUGCCAGCCGCCGCCGUAAAAC